rnacentral:lncRNA from 10 species
GGCAAGAAAACGGGAAAGGGUCUUAGGAGAGUUGGACACAUUCAAAACACAAUAUGUGAUUAAGAAGAUUAAAGAUUAAUACUUAUUGAUGGAUUACUAUGUGCCAAACUUCCAACCGAAUCCUGACAACAAUUCCUUAAGGUGUGGAAACUGCAGUUCACUGAGGUUGACAUUUCCGGGUUCAUACAACAAGGAUGGGGAUGAAUGACUGUAACUGCAGACCUUUACAAGGACAAUGAGAGCUCCUAAUGGAGGCGCUAAGGCAGCUGGCCCAGAGGCAGUAAAGUUGGCAACCUCAUUGGCUCCCCUUGAGAGUCCGGCCCACCACAACCAUUCUUUUAGAUAUGCAUGGUCACUUAGAUCUGCUUUCAUGGUUCCUAUCCUGGUUGGCACCAUGACAAGAAAACAAACAAGUUAUGGACUUAGAAGAUAUAGACUUAUGGUGGAGACAGAGACAUGGAAUAAUAACCCAAAGUAGCUCAUCUUCCUAGAGGUGAUGCCAUCGAAACCUGAUCAUCUAUCAAUCUUAGUUUUAGUGGUGAAGACUCAUGGUGGAUUUUGCCUAGCAGUUCAUAAUUUGUCUCAAGGGUGCCUGAGUGUCUCAGCGUCUCCAGAAAGCCCUUCGUGGUUGUUUCUGGAAUGAGUCCCAGUGCUCACCUCACACAGGCCUAUUCUUCCUCUUCCUCCAGCCAUUGCCUGUUUGACAUGAGAUGUGUCCUUCGAUAAGUCAGUAGUGGAUUACCUCAAGGCAGGGGACAACUAAGGCUCCAAUAGAAAGGAUGAAUUGCAAGAAUGGGACAGAGAUCAUAUUCUCAAAAGGACUUUUUAAUAAAAACUCACUGAAAGCAAUUAAU